rnacentral:rRNA from 1 species
AAUGAACGUUGGCGGCGUGGAUUAGGCAUGCAAGUCGAGCGAGAAGUGUAGCAAUACACGGAAAGCGGCGGAAGGGAGAGUAAUACGUGGGAAUCUGCCCUUAGACCUGGGAUAGCAGCGGGAAACUGCUGGUAAUACCAGAUAAUGUCUAUGGACCAAAGGUGUGAUUCCGUCUAGGGAUGAGCCCACGUCCUAUUAGCUAGUUGGUAGGGUAAUGGCCUACCAAGGCGAUGGUGGGUAGCGGGUGUGAGAGCAUGACCCGCCUCACUGGGACUGAGACACUGCCCAGACACCUACGGGUGGCUGCAGUCGAGAAUCUUCGGCAAUGGGCGCAAGCCUGACCGAGCGAUGCCGCGUGCGGGAUGAAGGCCUUCGGGUUGUAAACCGCCGUCGAGGGGGAGCAACUUCCAUAGAGUUAUCUUUAUGGAUUGAGUGAUCCCUGGAGGAAGGACGGGCUAAGUUCGUGCCAGCAGCCGCCGUAAAAC